GGAAAAAACGGAUGGAGUACAUCAAAAAAAGUGAAAAGUAUAAUUAUAGACAAAAAUUAGAGAAAAAAAGUGAGUUAAGGUAAUAAUUGGGGACUAAAGUUUUAUACUUUUUCACCUUUUGGGACCCGAAGUUUUUUCUUUCACCGUUUGGGACCUAAGAAAGAAUUUUAAACAAAUAAAUUAACUAUGGUUAAGCAUUGGGACCCACUGAUUAUUUUAGGUUUAAUUUAUUUGCAAAGAGAAUUUUUAUUGGUUUCUCCAAAAAAAAAAAUGAGUAACCGUGUUUACCCAAACAAAAUUAAAAAAAAAGUGUCUUUUCAACUCUCAUUGUUCAUCAGAGUACUCCUUCAUCAUCAACCUCCCUUUGAAAAAAAAAUUGAAGCUUUGAAGCUGAUUUUAGUGCAGAGAAUUAGCGGUAUAUUGAGCAUCUUAACACAAUUCCACCUCAAUCAAGUCAUGCAUUUGUACCAAGUCAGUCAAAUCAUGCAUCAAACACAAAUCAUUUAAGACAACAAAGUUCAUUGUAUAAUGGACCAACAAGGUUGUUCUAAUUUCAUUAAAAUGCAAGGCUGAAACAUUGGUUUUGGGAGAGCAAGAAAAGGGAAUUUGGAAAAAAAAAAAAAAAAAUAUGAUAUGAAGAAAGCUUGCUGCUGUUUUUGGAUGUUAGAAGCUGCAUGAUGUUGUGGAUGUUGGAUGCUGUUGUUUUUGUUUUGAAAUUUUGGAUUGUGGUUUGCUAUUUUAGUUUAAGGUAAAAAAUUGGAACAUAGAAGGGUUUUUUUUUUUUUUUUUUUUUUUUUUUUUUUU